GAGUGUGUAAAGUAGAUGAAGAGAAAGUUAGAUCCCUAAAGCAGUAUAAUGGGGUGGCUAAUCAUACUUUUGAAGAGAGAGCAGUGGAGAGAGGCCAUGCAUGUAUGUUCUUCCUUUAUAUUCUUUGUAAGAUAAGUAAGUAGAUUCAACAUUAUGUAUGUCUUUAAUGUCUUCAUUUCUAUAUAUUCUGAUUUAAGGUUUUGGGUGAAAGUUGUGUGGUUUCGAUAUUGCCUUGUAUAUAUUUGAUGGAUCAUAUUUUAUUUUAAGAUAAAUGAGGAGUCUGAAAUAUUCAAUCUGCAAUGUCACCCGUAUGCAUCUUCAACUCCUUGCAUUUCUCAAAUAUAAUAGAUUAAUCUAAAUCAUGAUCAACGCCUAGUUUUGUACUUUUAUGCUUAAUAAUGUCAAUUUUUAUGGUUUUGGCUUUUUAUUUUACAUCUCUAAUCUAUCCAACUUUUAUUUACUUUUUCUAUUAGAUGUGUGGUAGUAAAAUAUAGUUGCAUUCAAGAGACAUUAAUGCAUCAAAGUUGUUGGACGUGCAGGUCAUGAAUUAUUAUUUGAUUCGUUCAGAAGAAUAAAGUAUAGUUAAAGCCAAAAAUUUAACAGUAAUUCAGAUUAUGAAAUAUUUUAGGGAAACCUUAGUAACUGAAGGCAAGUUUAGUGGGCUUUAGUUGAUCGGCCACUCAGUAAUUUUGCAGAGCUGAAGGGGAAAAAAUCUGAUGUAUAACUUGGGCUGAUGACUGAGAGGGUCCACUUGAGAUAAGUAAGGUGACCCUCUUGAAUCUGUUAUAAUGAAGGAUAUCGAAUUUGGGUUUGAUUCUGUGGAUUCAUUCCAUUCUUUUAGGAGGUAAAUUUAUCCAAUCAAAGUUAUAUUUAUAUAUAUUGGUUGGACGCAAUUAGCUAAACAAAUCAAAAUGAGUUUAAAUUGUGGUUCGCAAGUAUGUUUAAGUUAUUAAUCUCUCUUUUUCAUAGAUAUGAAAGAAGAGUGGGACCAAUGUAAAACAGAAGGGCAUGGGCUUGGGCCGAGCAUGAGAAAAAGGAUGAUUAAAAGGUGAAUAAUCGCAGUGUGGCAAGUAGCUAUAGAUUGUGACAUAUCAUAUUCCUUCUUUUUUAUUCUUAACUUUAGGAGGAUUAUACCCUUCAAUGGUGGCAAUCGGCAACUUCAAAACAUUGAAUGAAAAGGAAUGUAAAACGUAUCAAACUAAGUGCAUAUGUAUCUGUCAAGAUCCGUUUUAUGCGUCUAUUCUAUUCUAGAGUUAUGUUGCUCUGAUACCCAAUACAAUACAUGUAAGUUUUUUUGAAAUCAUAUCCAUUUAAACUGAAUUUUCCUAUGGAACCAGAAACGUAUUAGAAACUGGCACUUAUUUUAGACAUGAAUACAAGGAUGACACCUACAUACCAGGAACAAUACAUAACGAAUAUCUGUAUCU
rnacentral:lncRNA from 1 species